CUACGUGCCAGCAGCCGCGGUAAUACGGGAGGUCCAGGCGUUAUCCGGAUUUAUUGGGUUUAAAGGGAGUGUAGGCGGUCUGUUAAGCGUGUUGUGAAAUUUAGGUGCUCAACAUUUAACUUGCAGCGCGAACUGGCGGACUUGAGUGCACGCAACGUAUGCGGAAUUCAUGGUGUAGCGGUGAAAUGCUUAGAUAUCAUGACGAACUCCGAUUGCGAAGGCAGCUGACGGGAGCGCAACUGACGCUGAAGCUCGAAGGUGCGGGUAUCGAACAGGAUUAGAUACCCUGGUAGUCCGCACAGUAAACGAUGGAUGCCCGCUGUUGGUACCUAGUAUCAGCGGCUAAGCGAAAGCAUUAAGCAUCCCACCUGGGGAGUACGCCGGCAACGGUGAAACUCAAAGGAAUUGACGGGGGCCCGCACAAGCGGAGGAACAUGUGGUUUAAUUCGAUGAUACGCGAGGAACCUUACCCGGGCUUGAAUUGCAGAGGAAGGAUUUAGAGAUA
rnacentral:rRNA from 1 species